AUUGAACGCUGGCGGCAGGCCUAACACAUGCAAGUCGAGCGGAUGAAGGGAGCUUGCUCCUGGAUUCAGCGGCGGACGGGUGAGUAAUGCCUAGGAAUCUGCCUGGUAGUGGGGGAUAACGUCCGGAAACGGGCGCUAAUACCGCAUACGUCCUUAGGGAGAAAGGGGGGGAUCUUCGGACCUCACGCUAUAGGAUGAGCCUAGGUCGGAUUAGCUAGUUGGUGGGGUAAAGGCCUACCAAGGCGACGAUCCGUAACUGGUCUGAGAGGAUGAUCAGUCACACUGGAACUGAGACACGGUCCAGACUCCUACGGGAGGCAGCAGUGGGGAAUAUUAGACAAUGGGCGAAAGCCUUAUCCAGCCAUGCCGCGUGUGUGAAGAAGGUCUUCGGAUUGUAAAGCACUUUAAGUUGGGAGGAAGGGCAGUAAGUUAAUACCUUGCUGUUUUGACGUUACCAACAGAAUAAGCACCGGCUAACUUCGUG
rnacentral:rRNA from 1 species